rnacentral:rRNA from 1 species
GACGAACGCUGGCGGCGUGCUUAACACAUGCAAGUCGAACGGAAAGGCCCUGCUCUUGUGGGGUGCUCGAGUGGCGAACGGGUGAGUAACACGUGAGUAACCUGCCCUUGACUUUGGGAUAACUUCAGGAAACUGGGGCUAAUACCGGAUAGGAGCUCCUGCUGCAUGGUGGGGGUUGGAAAGUUUCGGCGGUUGGGGAUGGACUCGCGGCUUAUCAGCUUGUUGGUGGGGUAGUGGCUUACCAAGGCUUUGACGGGUAGCCGGCCUGAGAGGGUGACCGGCCACAUUGGGACUGAGAUACGGCCCAGACUCCUACGGGAGGCAGCAGUGGGGAAUAUUGCGCAAUGGGCGGAAGCCUGAUGCAGCAACGCCGCGUGCGGGAUGACGGCCUUCGGGUUAUAAACCGCUUUCGCCUGUGACGAAGCGUGAGUGACGGUAAUGGGUAAAGAAGCACCGGCUAACUACGUG